rnacentral:tRNA from 1 species
GUGCGUGUAGAUUAUGUUCAAUAUUAUAGAUCGUAAGGCUGUUAACUUUAAGGAGGUGUAUAUUCCCACGGACG